rnacentral:rRNA from 1 species
GGCGGCGUGCCUAACACAUGCAAGUCGAACGAAGCAUUAAAGUGAAUCCCUUCGGGGUGAAGCUUUUAUGACUUAGUGGCGGACGGGUGAGUAACGCGUGAGUAACCUGCCUUUCAGAGGGGGAUAACAGUUGGAAACGACUGCUAAUACCGCAUAACGUAUCGGAACCGCAUGAUUCUGAUACCAAAGCUGAGGCGCUGAAAGAUGGACUCGCGUCUGAUUAGAUAGUUGGUGAGGUAACGGCUCACCAAGUCGACGAUCAGUAGCCGGACUGAGAGGUUGAACGGCCACAUUGGGACUGAGACACGGCCCAGACUCCUACGGGAGGCAGCAGUGGGGAAUAUUGCACAAUGGGCGAAAGCCUGAUGCAGCAACGCCGCGUGAGGGAAGAAGGUUUUCGGAUUGUAAACCUCUGUUUUUAGUGAAGAAACAAAUGACGGUAGCUAAAGAGGAAGCCACGGCUAACUACGUG